rnacentral:misc_RNA from 1 species
CGGGCGCAAGCCGGCUCGCUUUAAAUGGAUGAGUUGUCUGGCGUGUGUGCUUACAAGCGUGAUAGUUAUUUCGCUUUGGCGCGUGUUUAGAUGGCUUUCUAACCAGGGCGAUUGGGUGGUGCAGACCCUCAAGCGACCAUUUUAUAUCAGACCUCAAAUCAGGUAGGACUACCCGCUGAACUUAAGCAUAUCAACGGAGG